CCCAUUUCUCCAUAGCAUAAAUUGAGAUUAACUUGAAUCUAUGGUUAUUUAAUUUUGCUAUUUUGAUAUAUGACAAUUGAUUGUGUUUGUUAAAGUCCAGGCUCCUUCAUUCUAAUACUUGUUAAUUUUGGUAUUUUACUUGGUUUUUGAUAGUUGACUUAAUAGUUUGCUGUGGUGCAAGACUCCCUGGAUUUUGUUGUUUGCUGCUUACUAUUAACCGAGAAUGAAUUUGCAGUCAAAUGGCAGUGUAAUAUCAGGGGAUCAUCUCUGUGAUUGUGUUAUCAUCCAAUUCUUAAAUAGUUGACUUAACAGUCUACUGUAGGGUAGGACACCUAGAACUUUGUUGUUUGCUGCUUACCAUUAACAUAGAACGAAUUUGCAGUCAAAUGGCAGUGCAAUAUCUGGGGAUCGUCUCUGUGAUUGUGUGAGCAUCUAAUUCUUAAAUAGUUGACUUAAUAGUCUACUGUGCUGUAGGACUCCCUGGACUUUGUUGUUUUCUGCUUAUAAUUAACCUAGAACGAAUUUGCAGGAAGGGCAGUAUCUGAGAAUCAUCUAUGUGAUUGUGUGAUAAUGAUGUCUUAAAGCAACGCUGAACCAUCUUCCUGUGAUGAUACAAGGGAGUUUUUAUUAACAAAACUAGUAUAAAAUUCAUCAGUGCAAUGUUCGAAAAGGUGCAGUUGCUUUUUAUAAGAAACGAGCACUUUACUAUUAGCAAACUGUUUAAGUAAUAGGUGUUCACUAUUAAUAAAAACAAAGAAGAAAAACAGAGAAGAUUGAUAGAUAGCUGAGCUGAUCAUAAAUAUUAAUCGUUGACUUAAUAGUCUACUGUGCUGUAGGACUCCCUGGACUUUGUUGUUUGCUGCUUACCGCUAACCUAACAACAAUUGGCAGUCAAUAAUGGUGGGAAUAAAGGCCAUUAUACUGUUUAUUCAUAUAAACUGAUAAAUAAGUUCAUAAUUACUUUAAGGUGCUAUGCAUGCUAUAGCUAUAGAAGAUGAGUUAAUGAUUCAUAAUAAGCGCCGUUCGGCGUAGUGUUCCUAUGACGGCAUUCAAUAACUAGUGGAUAGUAUGUGGAAACCUACGGACGUGAAAGGUAUUGUGCCUUGUAUCUGUUGGCGCCCCUUGUUUGUUGCAAGGCAUUCGGCAACUGAUGUGUAGGACAUUCGGCGU